GCCCCCGUUCCCCAUUCGCCGCCCCCUCCUCCCCGAUUCCUCUCCCUCCCCCUCUUCCUCGUCUGCUGCCGCCACCACUCACCGGAGCCCUCCCCCACCGCCGCCGCCGCCGCUGCCGCCACCGCCAGCGCCACCACCAGCGCCCUGGCCAACAGCCUACAACCCACCCCCCUCUCCUGCUUAUCUUAUCCCCACCACUGGCAAGCUCCCCCCCUUCACCUCGCCCCAGAUCGAAUGCCAUGGACAAGGAGAGCAUCUCUCUCUGAUCAUGAAGCAGCCCCAACCCUAGCCCUUCUUUGGCCAUGGCGGCUGAGUAGGCAGGAGAUAAAGAAAGCACUGCGUGGUGUUCGUGUUGAAGCAAACCACCAGAAAGACCAAAUCAGAAAAUAGAAGAUAACAGGAAUUACUCCUGUCCACAUUGAGCCAGCGGAAAUUUCCUGUUGAUGAGAGAGGAACAAUAAUGCCAGUCGUUCAGUACUUCAAGGACAUAUACAACUGCAAUCUGCAGUAUACUACUUGGCCCUGCCUGCAGUCUGGAAGUGAUUAUCGGCCUGUAUAUUUGCCUAUGGAGGCAUGCAAGCUUGUUGAAGGGCAAAGGUACUCUAAGAAGUUGAAUUAUAAACAGGUCACCAACAUACUUAGAGCUACCUGUCAACGUCCCCAGCAGAGGGAGCAAAGCAUUCAUGAGGCACCUGUAUUUAGAUGCUGUGAAUACUGAUAGUAAAUUAUUUUUUCUUAUAGUCUGGAUCAUCUGCUGCACAUUUGUUAAUUUUUUUGAUGACCAGAUUUCGCUAGGCAAUUUCAUGAGUGGGUGCCUGCACAAAUUGCUCGAGUAUUUUCAGCCACAUCAAUGUCCAGCACCUCUUGUAACAAUAUGGACGGCCACUACUUCUUCGGCUCAAGCGAUCGACCCCUUCGCCGACGAUGAAUCGACGUCCGGAGCUCUACAGAAACUACCAGCAUGACAGUUGCAAAUACGAGGAGCAGUGCAGGUUCGUGCACGCCAACUCUAACCAACAGUGAACCCAACCAAUUCAGGUUUUGGUACCGGGAGCAGGCAACAGCCGCAACAUAUUGUUUGGUUAGGUAUUACUAUUAACCAUGGAAAGCUAAAAAAUUGUCGGCACAUCAUCUACUCUAUAAGAUUCCCUCGCAAGAAAAUACUUUAUAAGAUGCUAAAUCUAUUAAUCACACUUGAAAUCCUUGGUUUCAGAGGCAUGCUAAUCAAUCAAUUGAGCAACAACUGAAUUCUGGAGACGAUCCAAAUAUGGGCAUGUAUACUUCAAGACUUAAUUCUAACCAGGCGCUAAGGAAAUCCGCUCUGAACUAAGAAGGAAGAACAGAAGCAACAGCGUACAUCACGAAGAUAGGCACAGAUAAAUGGAUGCAUUCCAAUCCUUCUGAUCCAAAUAUAGAAAAGCAUCCUAUUAGAUUGGUCACCACAGGGUGAGUAUUAUCUAACUUCUCUCCACUGUAAGUAUAACAUAAAUGUAGGAAUGAUUGAACUUACGGAUUUAGAGUGUGAUGCUAAUUAAAUUACACGCACAACCAAAUUAUUUAUUUUUACUUUCAUAAUAGUAAGAUAUGACUUCUGAAGACUUUGUGGUAUGUUCUUGCGUGAUUUUUUUUUCAUAAAUGGGUCUUCAAUUUUGUUUUCAAACCUUUACAUGCCAUCAAUAGUUGUGGAGAUAUCUAUGCGUUUGGUGCUAAAUCGUCAUUUGGUGUGGCGAUCAUGACCAAUGGUAAUGUUUUAAUAGGCUGGAAACCUCCAUCAUUCGUCUAGCUACAAAUUUCAAACUAAUGUCAUAUAUGCGAGUGUCAGCAUCGUGGAAACACUGAGACCUAUUCUGUGAGAAAUAUGAAAUAUGUUUUGGAAAACAUGUGUCAUAAGUUAAUCAUGGGAAAAAAUAAAUCAAAAGAUAUCUUCUAUUCACGUUUUAUUUGUUUUGCUUAUAUACCUAACAAUCAGUGGCAUUUCUUUUUCUAUUUUUUUGCUUCCAUAAAUUUGAUGGGAAGUAGCCAAUGUAUAGUGUUGCUUCACUUACUAUGCUAUAAGCCUUUUUUUGGGCAUUAACUCUGCUGCCAAAGGCAUAUGUAAGCCUUAGAUAUAUGCACUAUAGAAGAAAUGUGGAAUGUUCUGUUAAAGCGUCACAACAUCAAUAAGAAUCUUGCACGCUGUUUAGAUGGUCGAUGGAGAGAUCAAGCAGACUUUUCCCACUAACUUUUUGUCGUCCGUGUCCAGUUUGACGCAGGCUGCCUCCGAACAGCAUGUUGCUUAUGUACAAAUCUUGGAAAAAACUAAUUCUGGAAGCAUCCUUUGAAUAUCAGUACAAACCGGUGCAAUUUUUUAGAUUGAUGUUUCCUAUUGCUCAUCAAUAUAGGUUGCUUUGCCUCUGUCUAUGGUGUUUUUUUUUCUGGAUGGAAUCAUCACCAAAAAAUUCAAAGCAGGUGAUUCUUCCCUUCAGAAUUUAUUCAUUCCCCCCUUAGCUUCCUGAAGAACCAUCAUGUAUCUUAUCCUAAUAGUUUGUGUAUAUAUGUUAAGAAAUGCAAUUCAAGGGACUCGACCAGUAAAAUGGAGUUUUGAUUGGGUAAUUUAAUUAUAGCCUUGAUUACCAUUGUCAAUUUUGUCGUGCAACAACUAACAAGGUAUUGGCUUGCAUACAUGCAAUUUUUAGCAAACAUUAUUCUUAGGAGGUCUCUAUACUUAUCAUUUAACUGCAACAAAGAAUUCAAGCGGCGCUGAUACAAUUGCUGAUCACUUGAUCUGAUGCUUUGCAGAGUAACCACUGAGAAUAUGAAAGAGAGCUUGCAAUUCCAUUCGUCAAUGUGCAGUGGCAGGGAACAAAUUUACAUUUUGUAGCGGCGACAUCAACGGAUGGAGGGUACGCCUGCUGCAGUGGACUUUGUCAUCUCAUCAACAUCCUCGCCCGUGACAGUACACGGAAGCUUUCUCUUGCUGUUGAAAUCUCUGAAGAAUUUUAUGGAAGGUUUAUUUGUCUCCUUCCACUCCAAAUUUCAAUUUGACAUUUUAUGAAUCUAACUCAAAACCACUUGUUUGUAGAUUGCAUCAAGGGGGAUAUAUUGGUUUUGAGGCACCAGCACUUUUUUGCUUAGGAGUAGUUUUGCUGCUUUGUUGAUAAGCAUACUGAAGGUAUUAUUUCUUUUUCAUGACGAGGGCGGCGGCGGGGGUUGCUGCAGCUCCAGCGUGGCCCUGGAGCUCAUGGUGUGCCUCAUACUGUACCUCAACUACCUGUACGUCUGAUGGAGCAAAAGGGACGGUGUGCAUCGAACGGGCCGGGUCGAUGAGGAAGAGGACCGGCAGAGGGGGCUCGACAAGGUGUCACAUUCAAAAGGCGCGGACGCAUGGUUGCGACAGCAAGGUCGGGGAGGAGUGUGCAGUCUACCUGGGUGCCAUGCAAGAUGGAUACGGCACGGUGGUCGGGCCGACAUGGAGCAUUCUCAUUAUUAUGGAAAAUGAUGGAUAGCAAAAUCCACAAGAUCACCAGCCGAGGGGGGAGGGUGGCUUGACAAGGCGGUGCUGGCAGCUAUGCCCAUGCCAGUGUUCAGAUUCAAGGGGGUCGCGCGAUGGCGCAAAGAUUGGUAGCCACUGCAUAUGUGUUGCUUCAUCAUCAUGCCUUGGAAGCAUGGGUGGCUUCCGCUGCUUGAUGGUUAGCCAUCCAGUACACAAUUAUUUUUUGUUAGCUUGUUUCAAUUGGAAGCAAUAAUUUUUUGCUAUGACUUCUAGAUUGUAAUCCUUCUUGACUUUUGAAUCAGUGAUAAGUGUAAUCCUACUUGACUUUGCAUCAGUGAUAAAUGAUUCAAUGAGUUUGUAAUUAAA